rnacentral:lncRNA from 1 species
GUUGUGUAUGGUUAUGCUUUGUCCAAAAGUUUUUGUUAUCUCCUGUAUUAUAUAUUGCUGCAAUUGUCAAAAUCCAAAUCACACAUAGAGAUAGCCUUGUCCUAUAGUUUAUAUCUGGUGUUUGUGUUUUUUGUAUGUCUUAGAUUCUAACUCUUCAAGUUCUUAUACAAAUUCAGAUGCAGUGCCAUUCUUUACAUAUAGGUAAAGGCAUAUUUACAAAAUGG